UUAGAGUUUGAUCCUGGCUCAGGACGAACGCUGGCGGCACGCUUAACACAUGCAAGUCGAACGAGAGAAGAGAAGCUUGCUUUUCUGAUCUAGUGGCGGACGGGUGAGUAACACGUGAGCAAUCUGCCUUUCAGAGGGGGAUACCGAUUGGAAACGAUCGUUAAUACCGCAUAACAUAAUUGAACCGCAUGAUUUGAUUAUCAAAGAUUUAUCGCUGAAAGAUGAGCUCGCGUCUGAUUAGCUAGUUGGUAAGGUAACGGCUUACCAAGGCGACGAUCAGUAGCCGGACUGAGAGGUUGAUCGGCCACAUUGGGACUGAGACACGGCCCAGACUCCUACGGGAGGCAGCAGUGGGGAAUAUUGCACAAUGGAGGAAACUCUGAUGCAGCGAUGCCGCGUGAGGGAAGAAGGUUUUAGGAUUGUAAACCUCUGUCUUUGGGGACGAAAAAUGACGGUACCCAAGGAGGAAGCUCCGGCUAACUACGUGCCAGCAGCCGCGGUAAUACGUAGGGAGCGAGCGUUGUCCGGAAUUACUGGGUGUAGAGGGAGCGUAGGCGGGAUCGCAAGUCAGAUGUGAAAACUAUGGGCUUAACCCAUAAACUGCAUUUGAAACUGUGGUUCUUGAGUGAAGUAGAGGUAAGCGGAAUUCCUAGUGUAGCGGUGAAAUGCGUAGAUAUUAGGAGGAACAUCAGUGGCGAAGGCGGCUUACUGGGCUUUAACUGACGCUGAGGCUCGAAAGCGUGGGGAGCAAACAGGAUUAGAUACCCUGGUAGUCCACGCCGUAAACGAUGAUUACUAGGUGUGGGGGGACUGACCCCUUCCGUGCCGCAGCAAACGCAAUAAGUAAUCCACCUGGGGAGUACGACCGCAAGGUUGAAACUCAAAGGAAUUGACGGGGGCCCGCACAAGCAGUGGAGUAUGUGGAUUAAUUCGAAGCAACGCGAAGAACCUUACCAGGUCUUGACAUCGUAUGCAUAGCUCAGAGAUGAGUGAAAUCUCUUCGGAGACAUAUAGACAGGUGGUGCAUGGUUGUCGUCAGCUCGUGUCGUGAGAUGUUGGGUUAAGUCCCGCAACGAGCGCAACCCUUACUGUUAGUUGCUACGCAAGAGCACUCUAGCAGGACUGCCGUUGACAAAACGGAGGAAGGUGGGGAUGACGUCAAAUCAUCAUGCCCCUUAUGACCUGGGCCUCACACGUACUACAAUGGCGUAAACAAAGGGAAGCGAGAUUGUGAGAUGGAGCAAAUCCCAAAAAUAACGUCCCAGUUCGGACUGUAGUCUGCAACCCGACUACACGAAGCUGGAAUCGCUAGUAAUCGCGGAUCAGAAUGCCGCGGUGAAUACGUUCCCGGGUCUUGCACUCACCGCCCGUCA
rnacentral:rRNA from 1 species